AAUCAACGCUGGCGGCGUGCCUCAGACAUGCAAGUCGAACGCUGCUGUUCGCCUUCGGGUGGACAGCGGAGUGGCGCACGGGUGAGUAACACGUAGGUAAUCUACCUUUGGGUGGGAAUAACAGCCGGAAACGGCUGCUAAUACCGCAUAAUGCAGCGCAUCACAUGAUGACAGUUAGUUAAAGCGAGGGAUCGUAAGACCUCGCGCCUGAAGAGGAGCCUGCGGCAGAUUAGGUAGUUGGUGAGGUAAUGGCUCACCAAGCCUGCGAUCUGUAACCGGCCU
rnacentral:rRNA from 1 species